CAUCGAUCUUUUUCUAUAUACGUAGUCCUUAUAAUGAAGUUAAAUUAUCUGAAUUUGAGGCGUUACUCUACCAAUCACUGUCUAACCUUAAGCAGAUUAUUUUGUAGCAUAAUUUUCUUUAUUUAUAAAAUAGGAACAUUAAUCCUUACCUCAGGUUUCCUGUAAAGAUUAUAUGAGGUAAUACAUGCAAAACACUUCAAAUAGUUGGCAGAUAGUAAAUGUUCAGUAUAUGCUAAUUAUUUUUUUCAAAACUUUUAGGUACAUCAUGUUCUAUUUUAUU
rnacentral:lncRNA from 1 species